rnacentral:misc_RNA from 1 species
AGUGGCCGCUGUCCUCCUCGCGUGGGAUAUCCAACGUAAAAGACUUCAGCUUGAAAUGGACUUUUUCGGACUUGAGGCCAGUGAUGGAAUCUGCCCAGCUCGUCGCGAUGAGUUCUAAUCCUACCUACAUGCGAGAGGUCUUCAAGCGCGACUGACCUUGAGAGGACGUUUGUACGCGUCUUGAAAAAAUGUACGACAGAGGAA